CCUUGUUUGCCCCUUCCUCUGUGUCCCAGCAGGCCGACCUGGGCGGGUGGAUUCCAGCAAUAUGCAGCCUUGUUCUAGGAUCUGGCGACUGCGGCCCGCCCUGUGCCUUCAGACUGCAGACGGUGCCGGCUCCCCCACGCUGCUGGCCCCAGCGGGGGCUGCACCCCCUCCUGCCGAUUCCCUAUGCGCUGCCCACACCUUGGCCAGUAGUCCUGUUUUUAGACGCUCCUCCACACCCCGGUCUGAGCGCGCCGUUUCCUGCCCAGACUCUGACCGAUGCGGUUGCUUGACCUCUUGUGGGUGAGUGUGAAUCCCACCACCAAUAAUAAUAAUAAUAAUAAUAAUAAUAAUAAUAAUAAUAACAACAACCACAACA